UUAUGGCACUUACUGAAGCAGUAAAAGAAGCCAUUUGGAUCUGAGGUCUCUUGGAUGAUAUGGGAUUGAAGCCAGAAGCAGCUUCAGUGUGGUGUGACUCUCAGUCAGCGAUUUGUCUGUCGAAGAACAAUGCAUUUCAUGAAAGAACAAAGCAUAUUGCUGUGAAUUUCUAUUUCAUUCGAGACAUAAUCGAAGCUGGUGAUGUAGAGGUUGAGAAAAUCCACACUUCAAGGAAUCCUGCAGAUAUGCUUACUAAAGUCAUACUUGUGCACAAGUUUGAAGCAGCUUUAGAUCAUCUAAAGCUCCUCAAGUGAUACUUGGAAUUAUGAUUGCCGAAGGUUAAGUUCAAGUAGUGCAAUUCACUGGAGAAUGUUGAAAGAUUGAAUCAAGGUGGAGUGUUGUGGAUCUUAAUUCUGAUUCAACUUUAAGUGACCGGUUUAGGUGUUGUGGUUAUGAAGAAUUGAGGACCGGUUAGAUGGAGUGUUUUAAACCGGAUUGAAGAGGCUAAAGGAAACCAUCUUUUCGCGAGAGAGGGUCUUCUGUUUCUAUUUGGGACUUAGUAUAAAAGGCCUUUAUUUCUUCUUCUUCAUUGUUCGUGUUUUCAUCUGUAACAAACAAAAAGAAAAGCUUGAGACUCCAUUGUUGAGCUCUGCUUGUACUCUGUAAUUCUCAUUCUGUUUCUAGUGGAUUGCCGAACUGAUUCGGCCCCAGACGUAGACUUGAUCAUACUGAUCUUAUUGAACUGGGUAAUCAAAUCUCUUGUGUUGUUUCUUUCGUUCUUCAAUUCGUUUCCGUUCUUGAGCUGAUUCGAAGUUUCGAUUGCUGAGUUUUCGAAAGUUUGCGAAGUUCUUGCGUUGUGAAUCGAGCAUAAAACGUAACAGAUGAGUGUCCAAGUAGUCAAGUCGAAAUGGUCAUCUAGUAAUUCACAUAGUCAUUUCAUAUCAGUAGACAUGAUAAUCAUCAAUUAAAAGUACACCGUCCAUUUUUCUUUGACCAAUAUUUGCUUGUGUAUGGACACAACCAUUAUUAUAAAAUGGAUCCAUACCCUUACAUAGGCUAUUCAAAUAACAAAGCAAUAACCAGUGGUCCAUCAAAUUCAAACUUUAACUCAAGACUGAGGAAAGAUUCUAAUAGGGAGACCUUUGGCUGGUAUUGGUGCGGGAUCAGCCACUAAUUUAUUUUCUUUUGGAAACACUUUUUCCCACUUAAAUCUCUUAACAAGAUUGUGCAUAAAUAUAAGAAUCUCUAGACGAGCAU
rnacentral:sRNA from 1 species